AACAAGCGUGUAUUACAAUAACGAGCCAUUCUAUAAAUUGACAUUUCAGCACUUGACAAACGGAUAGCGACUCCUAAGUAGCACUUAAAGCAGGGCUACGUGCGAUUGUGUUAAGUGCAUUUUUGGGAAAAGCACGUGAAACAAUAACAAACGUUCGUAAAAUGAGUCGUAGAAAAUGCUCUUAAGCGUUAAGAUCAAUUGUUAUCGAGAAGCGCAGUCCUGAAAGUUUUUAAGUUUUUUUUUAUGCUGAAAAGAAUAUGUGCCAAGAAUUUAGUAAGAUCAUUAAAUAAUUGUUUCUUUUAUUUUCCCCCGAUGUCCACAGCCUUGUUUACUUUAUCAGAAAAAAAAAAUAUAUAUAUUUCAAAGGUGGAAAAUUUGUUAUACUCCACCAUGCAAAAGUCUUAAGCUCACCAAGUCUGCAUUUAUUUGAUCAAAAAUAUAGUAAAAACAGUAACUGAAACAGUGAUUUUUUUUCAGGCUUCUUUGAUGAGUAGAAAAUUCAAAAGAUGUUUUUUUUUUUUUUUUUUUUUUAAUGGAAUAAAUUUAAGAAAAUGUUCCAUUUAUUAAAAAAAAAAAAAAAAAAACUAAAUUCCAUUUAUUAAAAAAAAAAAAAAAAAAACUAACAUUAUCUCUUUACUUUUGUUAAAAGUAUUCAAAUCCUACGGACUCCAAAUCUUGAAAUAUUAUGAAAACAUGUUUUUUUUUCAUUACGUAAUAUGCAUGAAUGAAUUAUGCACAGAUGGGCUAUUUAUUUAGAAAAUAAAUAGGCAAAAAUUUUGAUUUAAUGUCUUGAAAAAAUAAAUUUUCAUAGGGCAUGGACUGAAAUAUAAAUGUAGAGAUCUGGCUCUCUGUAUUAUGAAUAAAUACGUUCAUACUGAUCACUGAGCUGAUUUAAUUUCAGUGUUUAACUCUUAACAUAAAUCUGUUUUACUGCAUCUCUGAUUUGCAGCAGAGUGGAUGGAGUUGCAUAAAUACUUUACAUCUCUCUUCACGAUCGCUCCUGCUGAGGAUGCUGGGAAUGCGGACAGCCCUUCAGAAUCCUGUUUAAGCAUCGUAGAGUUAGAUGAGAGGGAUGAAGACGCUACAAUGUACAGAUCCUUUGGAGUCAAGCAGGGAAAUGAGAGCAAAAUGUUUGCAGCUGUUGGAAAUGGAGGAGAUUUUGGAUAUUCGGUUUUGCCUUUCACACCGUGCUUCUCCGAGAUGACCAAAGGAUCCAUCGGUGAAUGUGAUUCUGACAUAAAGAUCAACUCUUCUUCUGAGAUGUGGCCGCUGUCUCAAGAGGCUGAACAAUCUUCGUCAUCAUUGCCAAGAUCAGAAAGCUUUUCUCCACUUCAGACGAGGCUUCAGAGAUCACAGCACCUGUAGACUGCCUCAUAAUCCUUUCUGUCAAAUUCACGAACAGGAGGCCAGAAAGUGGAACUCAGUGACUCUCCAAAACCAAGAUCUUCUGCAGCACAACAGGAGAAAUCCUCAGAGCUUCUGCCAACAUCAUCCCCUUCACUCCCAAAAAUCAAAUUAAAUCAAACUCUCCCAGGCUUUGAGGACCAUAUUUCCACUGUCAGCCUCUCUCCUGGUGAAAUACCAUCUGUUAGGCCUUCUCAAUGUCAUUUUCCUGCUUUUCUCAUCUCUAAACAAAGUCCAAAACCUCCAGAUUCUCUGUCCCCAAGGUCUUGAUCAGUUUCUUCUCUAGUAAACCCAGUCCAAUCCAGACCUGCUCAUUCAACACCUGUUUCUGAACUGUCUCCAGAACGUGCCAUCACUUCCCCAAGUGCUGCAGUUCCUUCAUUAAAGCUGUCACUUAGAGAAUCAUCACAGUCUGGAUUAGUCUCAUAUAGAAGUAUAUCUACUAUGCCUGUCUAUGACUCCUUCAGUUCUUCUAUGCUGAGGGAUGAAUCUUCUCACCCGGCCUCCGAAUGGUUUAAGGGCUCACGGAGGUCACCCAAAACCAAAGUGUGCUCCUUACAGCUAAACAUGUCAGGUUAGUAUGAUUUCUGUUGGUAAAUUUGAAUUGAAGCUGUCUGAACAUUAAAAAUGUUAGUUAGUUGCAGGGGCGUGUCUAGAGCAUUUUAAAUGGGGUGGCCAGUCUGGGGCACUGGCUGAAAAGAGGGUGGCCGGGGGGGUGGGGUUAUGGUUUGCGGCACGAUGUAUGUUAAAAUACAUCGUGUAUACACUCACUAAACAAAGAGUGGCAGCUUUUUUAGUGGUAAUGAACACUCUUUGCAAGCUUUCUAGUCUAUGAUCCAUUUAAAAUGUAGAACUUUGUUUUUCAGCCACACACGUUGCAAAGUUUCGGGAAUGACAUCUGCAUAUUUAUGUGGGAUUCACUCUCGAAGUAGCAGUGAUUGACACAAUGAUGACCAAAGCAAUAGACGGGAGAAAAUAUGUGAAAAUGGGCAUUAAGACUAUAACUUUAAUUAACUAUAUUUAAUUUAUAGAUAUACAGAUGUAAACUGCUGUUUCUGUCAAUGCUCCAGUGAAAAAUACCACAAACCAUACCAUAAAUAAAUCCAUGUAAGAUUUUAUAUGGUCA
ensembl:lncRNA